rnacentral:rRNA from 1 species
GCUGCUGUCUCAGACUAGCCAUGCAUGUCUAAGUAUAAAUAACUACACAGUAGAACUGCGAAUGGCUCAUUAAAACAGUUAUAGUUUAUUUGAUACAUUUUAAUUGGAUAACUGUAUAAACACUAUAGCUAAUACAUGCUAAGACCGUAAGGUUGUAUUUAUUAGAUAUACCGAAUAUGUGAAUCAUAAUAACUUCGCAAAUCGCAGUAUUACUGCGAUAAAUCAUUCAAGUUUCUGCCCUAUCAUGCUCUCGAUGGUAGUGUAUUGGACUACCAUGGCUCUCACGGGUAACGGGGAAUUAAGGUUCGAUUCCGGAGAAGGAACCUGAAAAACGGCUACUACGUCUAAGGAAGGCAGCAGGCGCGUAAAUUACCCAAUCCUGAAUCAGGGAGGUAGUGACAAGAUAUAACAACCCGAUCAAAAGUCGCGAUUGUAGUGAGGGUUUUCCAAACCGAACUUCCAUUACGAUUGGAGGGCUAGUCUGGUGCCAGCUUCCGCGG